rnacentral:rRNA from 1 species
UACGUAGGGUGCGAGCGUUAAUCGGAAUUACUGGGCGUAAAGCGUGCGCAGGCGGCUUUGCAAGACAGAUGUGAAAUCCCCGGGCUCAACCUGGGAACUGCAUUUGUGACUGCAAGGCUAGAGUACGGCAGAGGGGGAUGGAAUUCCGCGUGUAGCAGUGAAAUGCGUAGAUAAGCGGAGGAACACCAAUGGCGAAGGCAAUCCCCUGGGCCUGUACUGACGCUCAUGCACGAAAGCGUGGGGAGCAAACAGGAUUAGAUACCCUGGUAGUCCACGCCCUAAACGAUGUCAACUGGUUGUUGGACGGCUUGCUGUUCAGUAACGAAGCUAACGCGUGAAGUUGACCGCCUGGGGAGUACGGCCGCAAGGUUGAA